rnacentral:rRNA from 1 species
CCUACGGGAGGCAGCAGUGAGGAAUAUUGGUCAAUGGGCGGGAGCCUGAACCAGCCAAGUCGCGUGAGGGAAGACGGUCCUACGGAUUGUAAACCUCUUUUGCCGGGGAGCAACGGGGUCCUUGCGAGGGCCCGAUGAGAGUACCCGGAGAAAAAGCAUCGGCUAACUCCGUGCCAGCAGCCGCGGUAAUACGGAGGAUGCGAGCGUUAUCCGGAUUUAUUGGGUUUAAAGGGUGCGCAGGCGGUCUGUUAAGUCAGCGGUCAAAGCCCGGGGCUCAACCCCGGCCCGCCGUUGAAACUGGCAGUCUCGAGUUGGAGAGAAGUAUGCGGAAUGCGCGGUGUAGCGGUGAAAUGCAUAGAUAUCGCGCAGAACUCCGAUUGCGAAGGCAGCAUGCCGGCUCCACACUGACGCUGAGGCACGAAAGCGUGGGUAUCGAACAGGAUUAGAUACCCCGGUAGUC